CUCUUUUUCUCUUUUCUUUUUUCUUUUUCUUUCUCUAGCUGCGGCUAUCUUCUUUUUCUUUUUUCUUCCCUCAUCCUCCAUUCACCAGAUCUACUGAAUGAGUUUUCAUGUGAUGAAAUUGAACUGGGUUGCAGCCAUGGAUGAUUGAGAACGAAUUGAAGAUGGGUUUGAUUUUUAUGGUGAUGGAAGAUGAUUGGUGCUGCAAAUUACAGAUCGAGAGAGAGAGAGUUAGGGUUUGAAGCCGGGAAUCAGUUUGUAGAAGUGAUCGAUGGUUGAUGUUGGCAGUGACGAAGAUGGUGGUAUAUUGAAGAUGGGUUUGAUCUAAAACCAGUUCUUUAUUGAGGAAGAAGAUGAGCUCGAUUUCAAGAAUUUGAGAGUUUGAAGAUUCAGAUGAUUAUCUUAGAAGAUGAAAUUGAAAUUGAAGAUGGGGUUUGAAUCUAAGAGGCAGGAGGUGAUUGAGGUUGAAUCGGAGAUGAAAUUGAAGAUUGGUUGAGUUCGAAUUGUUGAAGGUCAGUGAUAAUGGAAGAGGUGUGGCUGCUGCUGUUAAUGGAGAUUGAGAGAAUCAGGGAGGAAACGAGAUUAAAGAAAUGAAGAUAGAAAAUUAUUGUUGCAGUCCGAAGGAAAGAACAAAGAUGGGUUCCAGUCUAAUUUGGGUUUGAUGUUACCAGUGAUAAAUUGAGAAGACAGAAUUGAAGAGAGAAUCAAAGAAGAAAUUGGGGGUUCGAUUGGAGAUUAAUCAGGUAUGUAAACAAUGGGUUUGUGGUAGAUUUGAAUAAGACACAAAACAAAAGAAGAUUGAGUUUUUGGUGCUGUAAUGAGAUUGAGGCAGUGAUGCUGUUGAUGGUGUUAACAUUGAGCUGCAGUUCAAAUUGGUUUUCAUGUUGAUUGUCAUGGGUCAGUUGCAGGAGAUUGGUGGUAGUGAAUCGAAUGCUAAGCAAUGAAUUGAAUGGAGGAAUGCAGUUUUGAUAGAAGUGUGGUGCUGCAGGUGAACAUGAAGACAAAUCUGAGAAGUGUGGAGCUUCUUUGUUCAUAAUAUUAAUAACCCAUUACCACCACCACGGCACCACCAAAUCCUCAACAACAACAACCAGCUUAUGAUGUUACAGAAAAAUAGACCUCUUCUGAUUGUGGCUGAGGAUGUCGAAAGUGAGGCUUUGGAUAUGGUUAUUUCCUUUGUAGAUAAACUUAAAUUUGAAAUCAAUGACUUGAUUACGGUUAUUUGAACUUAGCUCAAUGUUUAAGUUUACAUACAAAGGAAAGCAGUUCACAUACAAAGGAAAACAGUUCAAUGUUUGAGAACUUGGUGAUGGAUCUUUUUUUUUUGGUCCGACUCGGUAAGUUGUUGCAAGGAAGCUACAGAUGGUAGUGAUGCUGUCUGAGGUGGUGGUGCAGUAAAAUGGAAGAAUGGUGCUGAGAUGCAGGGAAUGGUACAUGGUGCUAGAGCUACAGUUGGAAAUGGAAGUUCUAAAUGGUGACACUGAAUGUAAUGGCUUGAGAUGCUGAAAUUGAAGCCGAAAUGUACGCUUAGGUAAAUGAAUGUGGAGGAUACAAAAGGCCAAGUCAGGCUCAGUUGAGAAAGGACAAGAAACUGGUGAUUUGAAGUUAGCUAGGUAAUGCAAUUGGAGUGGCAGGUCUUGAAUGAAUGUAAAUGUGUUACACUGGCAGGUUAAUAUGAAAUUAUGAAUGUGAAAUACUUUCGGCAAUUCGAUUUCAGCUAUAAUUUUUUUUUUCAAAA